GGCACAGUGGUGCAGUGGGUCGCACUACUACCUCAAAGCAAGAAGGUUGCAGGUUCAAAUCCGGCCUGGGGCC